rnacentral:rRNA from 1 species
GACGAACGCUGGCGGCGUGCCUAACACAUGCAAGUCGAACGGAAAGGCCCUGCUUUUGUGGGGUGCUCGAGUGGCGAACGGGUGAGUAACACGUGAGUAACAUGUACUUGACUUUGGGAUAACUUCAGGAAACUGGGGAUAAUACCGGAUAGGAGCUCCUGCUGCACGGUGGGGGAUGGAAAGUUUCGGCGGUUGGGGAUGGAUUCGCGGCUUAUCAGCUUGUUGGUGGGGUAGUGGCUUUCAAAGGCUUUGACGGGUAGCCGGCCUGAGAGGGGGACCGGCCACCUUGGGCCUGCGAUACGGCCCAGACUCCUAUGGGAGGCAGCAGUGGGGAGUAUUGCACAAUGGGCGGAAGCCUGAUGCAGCAACGCCGCGUGCGGGAUGACGGCCUUCGGGUUGUAAACCGCUUUCGCCUGUGACGAAGCGUGAGUGACGGUACUGGGUAAAGAAGCACCGGCUAACUACGUG